CCCUGAUUAGCUAAGUCGGUAGAGCACUCCAGUUGAAAUGGAGAGGUCCCGGGUUCGAUACCCGGAUCAGGCG
rnacentral:tRNA from 1 species